AAGUGAUGGAAAAUUAGGUAUAAGUACCGUAAUUUUGGGGAGCCAUGUUCCCGCCCCAGCGGCUAACCGCAUCAAGAUAUACGGAUUUGUUUUUGACUGGCAUUUGUCUUUCAGGUGUCGCAUAUGUGUGCCUUGCCUCUGAUAGCUGACUACUGUGCUUGGUAGCCACAUUGACUGCACGCACGACCACUCACAAUCCCGGACGAAUUAUAACGGUCAUCACGGUCUGCGACUACUGUGGGCCCACCGACUACAAGCCCUGAUCACAAUAAAUCUUGUAGAACUCUG